AUGAACGCUAGCUACAGGCUUAACACAUGCAAGUCGAGGGGCAGCAUGGUCUUAGCUUGCUAAGGCCGAUGGCGACCGGCGCACGGGUGAGUAACACGUAUCCAACCUGCCGUCUACUCUUGGACAGCCUUCUGAAAGGAAGAUUAAUACAAGAUGGCAUCAUGAGUCCGCAUGUUCACAUGAUUAAAGGUAUUCCGGUAGACGAUGGGGAUGCGUUCCAUUAGAUAGUAGGCGGGGUAACGGCCCACCUAGUCUUCGAUGGAUAGGGGUUCUGAGAGGAAGGUCCCCCACAUUGGAACUGAGACACGGUCCAAACUCCUACGGGAGGCAGCAGUGAGGAAUAUUGGUCAAUGGGCGAGAGCCUGAACCAGCCAAGUAGCGUGAAGGAUGACUGCCCUAUGGGUUGUAAACUUCUUUUAUAAAGGAAUAAAGUCGGGUAUGCAUACCCGUUUGCAUGUACUUUAUGAAUAAGGAUCGGCUAACUCCGUGCCAGCAGCCGCGGUAAUACGGAGGAUCCGAGCGUUAUCCGGAUUUAUUGGGUUUAAAGGGAGCGUAGAUGGAUGUUUAAGUCAGUUGUGAAAGUUUGCGGCUCAACCGUAAAAUUGCAGUUGAUACUGGAUAUCUUGAGUGCAGUUGAGGCAGGCGGAAUUCGUGGUGUAGCGGUGAAAUGCUUAGAUAUCACGAAGAACUCCGAUUGCGAAGGCAGCCUGCUAAGCUGCAACUGACAUUGAGGCUCGAAAGUGUGGGUAUCAAACAGGAUUGGAUACCCUGGUAGUCCACACGGUAAACGAUGAAUACUCGCUGUUUGCGAUAUACUGCAAGCGGCCAAGCGAAAGCGUUAAGUAUUCCACCUGGGGAGUACGCCGGCAACGGUGAAACUCAAAGGAAUUGACGGGGGCCCGCACAAGCGGAGGAACAUGUGGUUUAAUUCGAUGAUACGCGAGGAACCUUACCCGGGCUUAAAUUGCAGAUGAAUUACGGUGAAAGCCGUAAGCCGCAAGGCAUCUGUGAAGGUGCUGCAUGGUUGUCGUCAGCUCGUGCCGUGAGGUGUCGGCUUAAGUGCCAUAACGAGCGCAACCCUUGUUGUCAGUUACUAACAGGUUCCGCUGAGGACUCUGACAAGACUGCCAUCGUAAGAUGUGAGGAAGGUGGGGAUGACGUCAAAUCAGCACGGCCCUUACGUCCGGGGCUACACACGUGUUACAAUGGGGGGUACAGAGGGCCGCUACCACGCGAGUGGAUGCCAAUCCCCAAAACCUCUCUCAGUUCGGACUGGAGUCUGCAACCCGACUCCACGAAGCUGGAUUCGCUAGUAAUCGCGCAUCAGCCACGGCGCGGUGAAUACGUUCCCGGGCCUUGUACACACCGCCCGUCAAGCCAUGGGAGCCGGGGGUACCUGAAGUGCGUAACCGCGAGGAGCGCCCUAGGGUAAAACUGGUGACUGGGGCU
rnacentral:rRNA from 1 species